rnacentral:rRNA from 1 species
AAUCAACGCUGGCGGCGUGCCUAACACAUGCAAGUCGAACGCGAAAGGGACUUCGGUCCUGAGUAGAGUGGCGAACGGGUGAGUAACGCGUGGGUGACCUACCCUCGAGUGGGGGAUAACGUUCCGAAAGGGACGCUAAUACCGCAUGACAUUCCGGGUUUGAAGACCUGGAAAUCAAAGCCGGGGACCGCAAGGCCUGGCGCUAGAGGAGGGGCCCGCGUCUGAUUAGCUAGUUGGCGGGGUAAUGGCCCACCAAGGCGACGAUCAGUAGCCGGCCUGAGAGGGCGGACGGCCACACUGGGACUGAGACACGGCCCAGACUCCUACGGGAGGCAGCAGUGGGGAAUUGUUCGCAAUGGGCGAAAGCCUGACGACGCAACGCCGCGUGGAGGAUGAAGGUCUUCGGA